UGUUACAUCAAAAACACAGAAUCUCGUGAGUGACAGGUUAAGUGUCUGUACCAUGGAGUCCUUCCUACAUAUGCACAGGUGCACUACGGCAGAGGCUGCUGGGACGGUCGGGCUCCAAAAAGUUCACAGGCAGGAAGAGCUGGGAACCAAACACAGCGGGUUUUGUUUUUCUCCCUUUCUCUCCCUCCUCUAGUUCUCCUUGACAACCGUCAGACAGGAUGAAGACAUGGGCAAUUUAUUCCACAUCACCUGAGCCACAGACAAGGCCAAGUUGAGAAGGAGGAAUGUAAAGCUGGUUCCCAAAUCCUCCUUUGCUCAUCCUUUGCCAUGAUGAGGACAGUCCUAGUCAGCGGUGGCUGGGAGGGGUGGUAAAGCGGCUGUAUCUGAACUUAAUGGUUUUUUGUUAUCCUUAGCAGGCUCCAGGCUGUUCUCCUGGUUGCUGGAGAUCUGUGAAGUACUCGUCAGAGACUCCGGGUCUGAGCUGCCGCAAGGCGUGUUGAUGGAGGAGCUGCUCAUGAUUAGGCUCCAGAAGUUUUUAUGGUUGAGGUAGCAAAGGGUCCCUGGCGGCGGUGGUGGGGGUGAGGGACAAGAAAAAGAAGGAGAAGCUGAGAUCCGCAUGGAAGGUGACAGGUGAGGUAUGCUGAAGGGAAGGUUAAGACCUUGCGGACUUCCGGGGGUGGCUGAGAGGAGUUACCCGCCUCUUCCAGUCACAAAGUCUCUGCCCUGAUCCACCCAACUCCCUUCCUCCCCCAGGGUCUCUUAACCACUUACCACAAGUGAAAUACAGGAUGAGCACCAGCCAACCAACGAAAUAGCUCCAGCCGAUGGGAACUGAUAUAUUCUUCUUCAGCUCGUAGAUCCAGAGGUUAACAGGGAACAACAGGAGGCAUUCAGAAAACAUCGUACUUCCGCUCUCACUUCCCUCUGCUCCCCUCGCCGCUCCCAACGCUCGCUCCACCCCUACCCCCAUCUCCCAGAGAAGAGGGAGAUGUGCCCAGGACCAUGUGGGCUAGGGAAUUAAGAACCUUUUUCAGAGCUGAGGGGCACCUUCACAGAAGCUCAGGAUGAUCCCAAUCAAGCCAAAGAAAGGCAUUUUCUGCAGGCAGGGCAGGUACGGCAGGUGCAGCCAGGUGGUGAGGAUAAAACCCAGCCCUACGGCCAGGGUGAAACUUAUCUUAGCCACCCCAAAAACUGGAUGGACUGUCCACAUCUUAAAAUUGUCUAGGGGGAAAAUGACAAAAAUAGGGAGGAACUCAGGAUUCACAAAAAUGAAAUACAGUCAAGUGAACAAAUAUGGGAACACUCAGGUUGUCUGGAAUCAAAGAAACCCUGCACAGUUGAAAUUAGGGAACAAUACUUUCCCUCAAGUAAGAGUCCUGAUCUGAAGACUGAGAAGGCUAGGCAGACUCCAUGACAGACUUCAGAUUGGCAGCUAAGGGGACUAGGCCUAAACACUGGGCAAGUCCAGCUGGCAAGCCCAGGUAAUUCAAUUACUAACAGGGAAAACAACAACAAAACAAAACAAAAAAACCAGGCUCCAGCCUUCACACCCAGCUAAUGGAAUGUCCCCAGCCACCUGGCCUGAAGCAAGGACAAUGGGUCAGCAGCAGUUUCUAGACUUCCUCAGCUACUUCCUCAGUAACAGUCUCCAGAUCUCCCCAGCGAGUUUCCAGCCCCCACACCCCAGCAACAGAAUGUCUGUCGGUAGACUUGGACCCAACAGAUUAACCUAGAGCUCGCCUACUCCAAAAUUCCCUAAUGUGCUUUAAAUCAGGCCUGCAGGCUCACUUGGGUGUCUAUCUUGGGAAUGGGGAGACCCCAGCAUGUUGGACUUCUACAGAAUAAAACUUUCUUUACAUUUACAUACUA